GCCUGGGUGGCUCAGUCGGUUGAGCGUCUGACUUUGGCUCAGGUCAUGAUCUUGCAUUCAUGGGUUCAAGCCCCACAUUCAGGCU
rnacentral:tRNA from 1 species